GCACAAUUUACAUAAAAGCGGACAAAAUGAAAUACUCUCUGUCGUUCGGCAUAUCAAUGAUUUUUGUGGCGGCAUCACAUGCUUUGGAUGACUGCGAUAAGAUGACUCUCCUAAUAGGCAAUGGGAUGUGCACUGAGGGACCGCUGCCCAUUCCACCAAAUCAAGUUAUGCAGCUACGGUGCCCAUGUGCAAACGUGAUGUGUCAUGACUCCAUGAGGCGAGUCACAAUUACCUGGUCUGAUUGCGACACGAUGAGCUGGAAUACACCUGUCAUCCCAAGUGCGCACGAUCUUCGAGGGACUUAUCAGAGUUUCCCUACGCAAGAAGAAAAUUCCAAGCGGUGCUCCAAACGUCCGUCUCCAGGAACAGAGUGACUUGCGCUACCUUCGAAAGAGAAUUAAAAGCAUCACACUUUGACCAUUAGUUGAACUCAUUAUCAAGCAGCCUGUAUUAGUUCCACGUAUUCAUCGACAUUGCAACAACACUGCUUGUUUUGUGUUGCAUAUUGUUUGAAAGGUCAUUGAUUCCUUCAUAAAAAUCAAUCUGAAAAGUAAUAAAACGUAAUGAAAUCCUAUUGA